rnacentral:lncRNA from 1 species
GCCGGUGCCUCCGGCAACGGUGUGGUUCCGGUAUGGCUGGAGAAGACGGGUGAGGCCGUGGUGGUCGGAAGCAGCGACAGGGAAGUGGUGAUGGAGAUGGAGGCGGAUGUGGGCGACGGAGUGAGUGGCGUUGGCGUUGAAGACGAUGAUGGAGGGCGGUGGUGGGAAGGUGUCGAUCUGGUGAAGAAGAAGUGAAGAAUGUGAUUUAGGGUUUAGAAGAUGAUAAAGCUGACGCCGUUACCGUCAGUUCACUGUUGUUCGGUUAUGUUUAAUUUGUGA